AAGUCGAACGAUGAAGCCUAGCUUGCUAGGUGGAUUAGUGGCGAACGGGUGAGUAAUACGUGAGUGACCUACCUUUGACUCUGGGAUAAGCCUGGGAAACUGGGUCUAAUACCGGAUACGACCAAUCUCCGCAUGGGGUGUUGGUGGAAAGCGUUAUGGAGUGGUUUUAGAUGGGCUCACGGCCUAUCAGCUUGUUGGUGAGGUAAUGGCUUACCAAGGCGACGACGGGUAGCCGGCCUGAGAGGGUGACCGGCCACACUGGGACUGAGACACGGCCCAGACUCCUACGGGAGGCAGCAGUGGGGAAUAUUGCACAAUGGGCGCAAGCCUGAUGCAGCGACGCCGCGUGAGGGAUGACGGCCUUCGGGUUGUAAACCUCUGUUAGCAUCGAAGAAGCGAAAGUGACGGUAGGUGCAGAGAAAGCGCCGGCUAACUACGUGCCAGCAGCCGCGGUAAUACGUAGGGCGCGAGCGUUGUCCGGAAUUAUUGGGCGUAAAGAGCUUGUAGGCGGUUGGUCGCGUCUGCUGUGAAAGGCUGGGGCUUAACCCUGGUUUUGCAGUGGGUACGGGCUAACUAGAGUGCAGUAGGGGAGACUGGAAUUCCUGGUGUAGCGGUGGAAUGCGCAGAUAUCAGGAGGAACACCGAUGGCGAAGGCGGGUCUCUGGGCUGUAACUGACGCUGAGAAGCGAAAGC
rnacentral:rRNA from 1 species